CACGCAAAUAAUAACUUAUCAUAAUAAAAUCUAAAACAUCAUGCAAAUCACAAAUAAUAUUACAACAUAAUAAAUCCAGAUCUAAUCCACCCAUUCAAGAACACAUAUCAAGUAAUUAUAAUCAUUCAAUAGAUUAAAAAUCAUCAAAUAAAAUAAAUUUUUUAUCACAAAAAUUAUUCAACAUGUUAAACAAUUAUUUAGGUUUGAAAUCAACCUUAUAGGGUGGCUGAAGUCGAAUUAAAUCUGUUGUAACACGAGUGGUAGUGUCGACACGUGGAGCUACGCGCGGCCAUGAACAGCAACGCGUGAGGUUGACGUUCCGGUGACCUGGAGUGCACGUGGUGGCCUGUUUCGGGUAGAGCUCUUUUCCCUAUUCAUGGCUGCAUAGGUCGUUCGCCUUCACUCUCCCUAAAAUGAAAGAUAUAACCACGAGAAGUUUCAAUUUGUUUUAAUUUUUUUUUUCAAUCCCUUCCUUCUGAUUUAGUUCAAUCUCUUCGUUUUUCUCAAUUCAAGUAGCCGACAAUUCUGUUGUGGAGGAGGAGCUGCUAGUGUUAAUGGUCAGCCAUGGGUGGUGGAGCUGCUAGGUACUGGAGAGGCUGUCACGAUUUUCUCCUUUCUCCCUCAUUCAUUUGUUUCUUCCUUCUUCUUUUUUGUAUGCUGGACUACUAACUGGUGGACAGAGGAGAGGGAUGGAUUCGCGACAUGGAGGAGAGGUCGUAGUCGCGGGAAAGAUGAAAGAAAAAGGGGCAGCUUAGCGGAGAGUCUGUUGGUCUAUGACAAAUGAGGGAAUGGUUUAGCUUUUUUUAUGGUGGUUCAAGGCUGGGAAAAUGGUGGGAGAUGGAGCUGUUGAUCGUAGGUGCCUAUGGCCGAAAUUGGUUGGCUAGUGGUAGACGGCGGCUGAGAGGAAUAAGAGAUUUUUAGGAUUUUUUAUUUUAUUUUAUUUUUGGCUUUAGGGAGAGGGGUCAAAGAUGGAAGCAAAACCAAAAACUAAAAAUGACUCUUUGUUUUCUUUUCUUCACAUUUCUGAGCUUACUCCCCGUUCUCUU
rnacentral:lncRNA from 1 species